AGCCAUCAUUUAAAGAAAGCGUAAUAGCUCACUGGUCGAGUCGGCCUGCGCGGAAGAUGUAACGGGGCUAAACCAUGCACCGAAGCUGCGGCAGCGACACUCAGGUGUUGUUGGGUAGGGGAGCGUUCUGUAAGCCUGUGAAGGUGGCCUGUGAGGGUUGCUGGAGGUAUCAGAAGUGCGAAUGCUGACAUAAGUAACGAUAAAGCGGGUGAAAAGCCCGCUCGCCGGAAGACCAAGGGUUCCUGUCCAACGUUAAUCGGGGCAGGGUGAGUCGACCCCUAAGGCGAGGCCGAAAGGCGUAGUCGAUGGGAAACAGGUUAAUAUUCCUGUACUUGGUGUUACUGCGAAGGGGGGACGGAGAAGGCUAUGUUGGCCGGGCGACGGUUGUCCCGGUUUAAGCGUGUAGGCUGGUUUUCCAGGCAAAUCCGGAAAAUCAAGGCUGAGGCGUGAUGACGAGGCACUACGGUGCUGAAGCAACAAAUGCCCUGCUUCCAGGAAAAGCCUCUAAGCAUCAGGUAACAUCAAAUCGUACCCCAAACCGACACAGG
rnacentral:rRNA from 1 species